AUAAAUACCUUCAAGGUGAGAUAGCAAGAUCACAAAGGUGUUAUUCAGGAUGGGGCUUAUCCAUUUGCAUUCUGGUUGUGCUGACCCCUCCAAUUUCCCUAAGUGUAGAAAAUUCAAAUUCAUUAAUAGUGGUGGUGGGGUAAUGCAUUCAUCCUCUUC
ensembl:snRNA U1 U1 spliceosomal RNA